ensembl:lncRNA
UGACCAUUAUAGUGAUUUUCAGCAAAUUCCCUUUAUACAUUAAAAAGUAAAAUGCCCUAGAAGAAAGGAAUUCACACAGAUGCAUCUUAAAAAUCUGUAUUAUGAUAAUUUUCUCUCUAGGACCUCACAAAUUUGAGGGAAUGUGUUAUUCUGUGUUACGAUUUUUCUCCCAAAUCUGGUGAUUCAAGAUGCGCUUGAGGUGUAAAUAAGUAGUAUUAAGUCAUGCUGGUUAUAAAAAAAAUAAAUGUGGUUUUCACUGUAGAUGAGUGCUCAGGAUCUACCUUUCAUAUGUCAUCAUCAGCUGAAAAAGAAGACAUCAAGGAUGCCAUUGAAAAUUAUAGGACACAGGAUAAAUAUAUUUUAGAAGCUACCAACUUGGUAGAAAAAACAGCACAUGAAAAUCAGACUGACAAAGCAGAAAUUUCACAUCAGGAAGCCCUAGCAGAAAAUGAGGAAUUGCACAGUGCUGACAAGCAGUUAAGUCCAAAACCUUGGGAAGAAAGAUAUGAAAGGAUGUGGGUUGAAAAUGAGAAAAGGGAAUUGAAAACAAAUUUUAAAAACAUUACAGCAGAGCUGAAGCAGCUGUUUGGUGAAAUUAAUGAAACUGGGAAAACUACUUCCCUUGUGGAAGAAAUGUCAGAAGAUGGCUUCAGUGAAGAAUUGAAGAGUUCUCAUGUUGUUUCAUCUCGUGUGACAGAAUCAAGUAAUAAGUUAGAAACUAAAGGUGAAUUUGGAGAUAUUAAACUUAUGCUAGGUGGAAAAGAACCCAAAAUGGAAAUUGAAAUUCCAAGUCUUGGUGUCCUUCCUGAUCAAAAUAACUUAAAUGCAAAUGUGGAAGAUACCUGGAGUACAGAUGAAAAGGAUAGCACAAAUGAUACAGAUAAUACAAAGGUACCUCUAGCAAAAGGAGAGGAAAAGAAAAUGCCUACUAUGGAAAUGGAAGAGAAUGAAAAUGGAAGUAGUAGAAAUGUAGAGGGAAGUCCUGAAUACUCCCUGAGACAUAGCUUAAAAACAAGAAUUUUGGAUGACGCUUCUAAUAUUCUUCCUAAAAUAAGACCUGUUUCUACAAGUGAUGCAAACACGCUUUUUGUAACAGAAAGGAAACUUGGAAAAGACUCUGGAUUUAAUUAUGAAGUUCCCGGGGACUGCCUUAUCGACAAUUAUAAAAUAGGAGAAACAGAAAUUGACAGUCUUUUUGCAAAUGCUCAGCAAUCAUGUGGCAUGCAGAAAAGGAAUCUUGAUGAAGAACUAAAACAAGAUAUGGAAAGAUUUAAGAGUAAGGUAGGAAUGCUGCAAAUAGUAUUCCUGGCUUUGGAGAAAGAGAAGGUACAGCUGCAAAAAGAGGUAGAAGUUCACCUGCUAAUCGUUAUUCUUUAGCCUUUCUCCAUACCAAUGGUCCUGUUCACUUUAGCUAUUUGUUAUUAAGGGAAGAUGCUUCCUGCAAAUUGGGUUUUGUUUUGAUGGAAAUAUGUUACUUAUAAAUAAAGAGAGCAGUAGAGACGUGUCCUUUUCCCCAUUAUGUAAUUAAUUAGAAGAUUUUUGGAAAACACAGAAUGCAUUAUUGUUCCAGUUUAACAAUAGGUGGCACUCAGUUCCAGUGUAAGUAGUUAUCACUUCAUUGCCAUAAAAAGAAAUGCACACAAUUACAUCUGUUCUGAUUCUGACUCAAAGAAUGAAAAUAGCUUCUGAACAGGGUCUUGACUAAUCUAUUCAUUUGCUGUGAUUUCUGCAUGGUGUGUAUUCAUUGCUCUUCACUAAAAUUCCUGUUUGCUGUGAAACCAUUUCUGCUUGUGAGUUUGAGAUCUAUCCCUGCCCCACCCUCCCUUUAGGUAAGCAGUAGCCCAGCACACUUCCACUUGAUUUUUUUUUUCCUGGGUUUACAGCUAACAUUGUGCAGUCCUUCCAACUCUUUGUCCAUCCGUAAUGCUUUCACUUUUUUGUUGUUCAUGUUUUAAGAUACACUAUUGUUUUCUUUCUAAGGGCUAUGUUUUUGUUAUAUCUUUAAUCAUGAGUGAAUUCGAAGUACUUUCAAUGACUUGAUACGCUUUGUAGUGUAAUUUAGUGAAAAAGCUUCUCUAUAUGAAUUAAUUUAUUUUUUUUUUCAUUUUACGUGAUUGCGGAGCUAAACCCUGAAUUAUUCAAUCUUGAAUAUGCUGUUUUUCCUUUCUAGAAAUACUGAGAAAUACAUGAA